CACAAAAUAAUAGACUUGAGUGCAAACUUCCAUAAAAUAGCACACUACUUCUCCUAACAGGAGUAGGAAAACAAGGGUGUGUGGCAUACAAAAAGUUUAACAAAAAUAAUUAAACUUGUGAAAUUAAAUAGUGCAAUCAGUCUUUUGUGUAUAAUACAGCAUGUGGGCAUAUUUUGCUUUUAUCUGACGCUCCUGUCACUCCACUUCUCAGGUCGUCAUACAUCUCCCAGACACAUGGAGACCUCCUGCAAUAGGCCACGUAAUGUCCAAGAGCAUCCUGGGUUAAGCCUCCUCUAAAAGCAAUGACUGCCCGUAAAGUAAAUCUCUUUCCCUGGAGCAUCAGAUUGGAGGGAAAUUCACUCAAAGGAAAUUCUGUGGAGUUGCUUCCCAGGUCCACUUUGAGUCUUUUCCCUCUCACAGAUGGAUCUGCAUGGAGCCAUUCAGGACAAGGAGAGAGGUAUGAACUCCUCUUCCUCUUUUUGGGUGGAACUGCUAAGCCUCUCCAGUUUUCAACAGCUUCUUCAUCUGUUGGAUGGAUGUUUGUGGCAGUGUCAGACUUCCCAGAGCAGGAAUCAUCCAUCUCUGGCCUUCCAUCUAUCCUGCAUGUUGUGAAAAAAUACGCAUGUUGCCUUCAAUGAAGGACAGAUGUCGAGCAAUGAAUCGAUCCACUCGAAUAGGCAAGUGUUCAUGCUUGAAAAGGCUGCGUUUGAUGUUUUUAAACUCAGCUUCGACAUUGGCUGAACUUGCAGUGAUUUUGGAGCUCCGGAAGUGAGGGAUCAUUACCCCUGUCCAGAGAGGUCUGUCUGUGUUUGGUCACAUGGAUCCACUUCUUCCAGGUCCGCCCGCUCUACAUCUGGAAUGAUGACACACUCUUCUGCAAUUCUGGCUUUUAGUCCCACCGGCAGAUCAUCUUGAUGCAGUGAGCAACAUCAACCCGCACGAAACAAGGUGGGACUUUUGCUGACUGUCUACCGAGUAAGA